CUCGGAAGGAUCAUUACCACACCUAAAAAACUUUCCACGUGAACCGUAUCAACCCUUUCAGUUGGGGGCCUUGCUUUUUUGCGAGCCCUAUCAUGGCGAAUGUUUGGACUUCGGUCUGGGCUAGUAGCUUUUUGUUUUAAACCCAUUCUACAAUACUGAUUAUACUGUGGGGACGAAAGUCUCUGCUUUUAACUAGAUAGCAACUUUCAGCAGUGGAUGUCUAGGCUCGCACAUCGAUGAAGAACGCUGCGAACUGCGAUACGUAAUGCGAAUUGCAGGAUUCAGUGAGUCAUCGAAAUUUUGAACGCAUAUUGCACUUCCGGGUUAGUCCUGGGAGUAUGCCUGUAUCAGUGUCCGUACAUCAAACUUGGCUUUCUUCCUUCCGUGUAGUCGGUGGAGGAUGUGCCAGAUGUGAAGUGUCUUGCAGGUGUCCUUCGGGUCGUCUGCGAGUCCUUUGAAAUGUACUGAACUGUACUUCUCUUUGCUCGAAAAGCGUGGCGUUGCUGGUUGUGGAGGCUGCCUGCGUGGCCAGUCGGCGACCGGUUUGUCUGCUGCGGCGUUUAAUGGAGGAGUGUUCGAUUCGCGGUAUGGUUGGCUUCGGCUGAACAGGCGCUUAUUGUAUGCUUUUCCUGCUGUGGCGUGAUGGACUGGUGAACCGUAGCUGUGUGUGGCUUGGCUUUUGAAUCGGCUUUGCUGUUGCGAAGUAGAGUGGCGGCUCCGGCUGUCGAGGGUCGAUCCAUUUGGGAACUUUGUGUGCACCUCGGUGCGCAUCUCAAUUGGACCUGAUAUCAGGCAAGAUUAGCCGCUCACCUUAAGCAUCCACGAAACAGGGAGUUACCCCCCCUACAAACUUUCCACGU
rnacentral:rRNA from 1 species